UCCAGACUCCUACGGGAGGCAGCAGUGAGGAAUAUUGGUCAAUGGGCUUACGCCUGAACCAGCCAAGUCGCGUGAGGGAAGACUGCCCUAUGGGUUGUAAACCUCUUUUGUCAGGGAGCAACGCCGGCUACGUGUAGCCGGACUGAGAGUACCUGAAGAAAAAGCAUCGGCUAACUCCGUGCCAGCAGCCGCGGUAAUACGGGGGAUGCAAGUGUUAUCCGGAUUUAUUGGGUUUAAAGGGUGCGUAGGCUGUGAGGUAAGUCAGCGGUGAAAUGCCCCCGCUCAACGGGGCGAAGUGCCAUUGAUACUGCCUUGCUGGAAUGCGGAUGCCGUGGGAGGAAUGUGUGGUGUAGCGGUGAAAUGCAUAGAUAUCACACAGAACACCGAUUGCGAAGGCAUCUCACGAAUCCGCGAUUGACGCUGAUGCACGAAAGCGUGGGUAUCGAACAGGAUUAGAUACCCCAGUAUAC
rnacentral:rRNA from 1 species